AGUAAUGUAAUUAAACGGCAAUAAUUAAAAACAUCCAACGGCUAUCAACUACCACAUCGUCUCUCUCUCUCUCUUAGUCUUCAACGCCUUCUAUCUAUACAUUUUGACAACCUUUUUCACUCUUCUUACUAAAUCUGCAAGACCCUUUCUCCCUCUCUCUUUCUAAAGUUAUUUUUUUUUUCUUUCAGAAACUGACUUCCGCCAAUCUUGAGAAUGGGAAAGAAGCUUGUAAUGGUUCCUGCUAAGGAUUUGGAUUUGUCCGCUGUCGAGUAUAAGCCUGAGGUUAUCCAAGCUCCACAUUUGACCGGAUUGGGAUUUAAGUUGUUUGUAAACUUACUUGAGGCUCCAGUUAUAGGUUCUCUUAUCAUAUCUUACUUAAAGAAGCAGAACAAGAUGGAUGAGAUGUUGCGAAACACUGAGAUACCAGAAGCACCCAUGUUUAAACCUGAAUUCCCUCCUCAAGAACCAGAACCUGGUAUGGUUCUUGUGGAUGAAGAUGGAAAACCAGAAGAUCGGGUUGAAUCAGCACUGAAGUGUCUUCCUCAUUAUGAUCCUGCUAGCUGCUGGAAUGGGGACUCAGCUCCAUCAUUCAGAUAUUGGAAGAUACGUGAUUACGCACAUGCUUAUCGAUCUAAGAUUGUAACUCCAUCUAUGGUUGCAGAGCACAUAAUCUCAGUUAUAGAGGAGUUUCAAAAGAAGAACCCCAUGGCACCAUUGUUGAUUUCUUUUGAUGAGGAGGAAGUCAGGAAGCAAGCUGCAGCUUCCACACGGAGGCUUGAGGAAGGAAAUCCAAUAUCCAUAUUGGAUGGAAUUUUCAUAGCAAUCAAGGAUGACAUAGAUUGCUAUCCCCAUCUGUCUAAAGGUGCAACAACAUGGAUGCAUGAGGUUCGUUCUGUUAACAGGGAUGCAGUUUGUGUUUCUAGAUUGCGCAGCUGUGGUGUGAUAUUUGUAGGGAAGGCAAAUAUGCAUGAAUUAGGCAUGGGCACAACUGGAAACAAUCCAAAUUAUGGAACGACAAGAAACCCCCAUGCAUUCGAAAGGUACACAGGUGGAUCUUCCUCGGGCCCAGCAGCAAUUGUAGCUUCUGGAAUAUGCUCAGCUGCCUUGGGAACAGAUGGCGGAGGUUCAGUCCGCAUACCCUCUUCCCUUUGUGGUAUAGUGGGCUUGAAAACAACAUAUGGACGGACAGAUAUAGGAGGUUCAAUAUGCGAUUCUGGUACUGUGGAAAUUAUUGGACCAAUGGCAUCUUCAAUGGAGGAUGUCAUACUAGUGUAUGCUGCAAUGUUGGGCUCCUCUCCAGCAGAUAGAAUCUGUUUGAACCCGUCUCCCCCAUGUUUGCCUAAUUUGUCAUCCUAUGGAAAUACAGAUAUUUUGGGAUCAUUGCGACUGGGAAAAUAUACAGCGUGGUUCAAUGAUGUGCACUCAACUGACAUCUCCGAUAAGUGUGAGGAUAUUCUUAACCUUCUAUCUAAAACACAUGGCUGUGAGAUGGUAGAGAUUGUGGUGCCUGAGCUUGACGAGAUGCGCAUUGCUCAUCUUGUUUCAAUUGGAUCCGAAACGCAGUGCUCAUUAAACCAUGAUAUUGAGGAUGGGAAAGGCAAGAGAUUGACAUAUGAUACCCGUACCAGUUUUGCACUAUUUCGAUCAUUCAGUGCAGCAGACUAUGUUGCUGCACAGUGUUUCAGGCGAAGAUUAAUGUACCAUCACAUGGAAAUUUUUAAAAAGGUUGAUGUCAUAGUGACCCCAACAACUGGCAUGACAGCACCCAAAAUACCUCCUAGUGCGCUUAAGUAUGGGGAGACUGAUAUGCAGGUUGCAGGUUUGAGUUCAUCUCUCUUAAGCUUGUAUAGUAUUACAGUAGACUUUUGUAAUCAGGUGGUGACAAAUAUAAAGCAUGACCUCAAAAAAAAAGAAAAGGAAAAGAUUGUUGCAAAUUUCCAGCCUAUCUUAUGCGCUUUGUUAUUGCCGCGAAUCUUCUUGGCCUUCCCGCAAUAUCUAUUCCUGUCGGUUAUGACAAACAAGGGCUUCCAAUAGGUUUGCAAAUAAUUGGCCGUCCAUGGGCAGAAGCAACAAUUUUGCGUUUGGCUUCUGCAGUAGAGGAACUAUGUGGAAUGUCUAAGAAGCAGCCUGAAUCAUUUUAUGAUGUUCUGAGGACAAAAUGAAUCAUCAUGUGCAAUCUUUCUGGUUCAGUGUGGCCUCAGCUGAAAUUCCUCUUGAGGAAUCUGGCAUGAGUACUGUCUCAAAAAAGACGAUUACUCAUCAAGGUUCAUAAGUACUGUUUCAAAAAAGACGAUUACUCAUCAAGGUUCAUAAACUGAUGUUAACUAUUGUCAUCACUUGUUAUGACAAUAACUAGAAAAAAUGUCUUUUAGUGCUUGUUAUUCUAAGUAGAGGAGUUGCAAGGUUGAUUCAUUGAUGUGGGAUUAGAAUGUGAAAACAUACAAGAAUAAUCUUGAUAAUUGUUUGGAACAUGAUGCUCGGAUUCAUGGUAACAAAAAUAUUUGAAACUUACGCGAA